UCUUGUUCUUCUUCCCUUUUCUUUCUCUCGGCUUCACUUGCCCCAGCCGACUCCUCCUUCCCUUUUCUCUAUUUUCCUUUUCUUUCUUCCUCUCUUCUCUCCAUUUCUCCCUUCUCCUUUCUUCUUCACACACACACACACACACACUUGAUGAACCGAGAGAGAAAGAACCCGUGUGUGGAUGGUGGGUUUUGGCCGUGGGUGGUGCGAUUUUUGGAGAUGUGGUGGCUGGGUCACCGUCGUGGCGUGGAGGCCGCAGCUAGGGCAGUGGGCUCCGGCCUUGCUUCGGUGAGAUUUCUCUUUCCCUAGCUGUGGGUUCCGGCCUUGCUUCGGGUACCAUGGAGCUAUCUCAAGCUACUUCCCAAAUGCCCAACGCUCCUUUGAUUGGCAUCAUCCAACCAAGAAGAGAAGAGAAGAGAAGAAGACAAAAGAUGGAAGAGCAAAUCCAAAAGGGGUUUUUUUCGGUCAUCAAAGGAAAUCGGGGAGAUAAUCUUGAGCUUCUUUUGAUAAUUAUGAGAUACCCAUCCGGAACUAAACCUCAUUUCUGGAGUGGACAAAACCUGCAAUU